CAAUCUGGAGGUGGCCGACCGGCGCGACGGGUGAGUAACACGUAUGCAACCUGCCUAGUAAGCGGGGAAUAACCCGUUAGAAAGACGGACUAAUACCGCAUAAUACUAAAUUACUGCAUGGUAAUUUAUUUAAACAUUUUAUGGCUUACAGAUGGGCAUGCGCAUGAUUAGCUAGUUGGAGAGGUAACGGCUCCCCAAGGCAACGAUCAUUAGGGGUUCUGAGAGGAAGGUCCCCCCACACUGGUACUGAGACACGGACCAGACUCCUACGGGAGGCAGCAGUGAGGAAUAUUGGUCAAUGGACGAGAGUCUGAACCAGCCAAGUCGCGUGCAGGAAGAAUGUCCUAUGGAUUGUAAACUGCUUUUGCAGGGGAAUAAAGUGCAUCACGUGUGAUGUUUUGUAUGUACUCUGCGAAUAAGGAUCGGCUAACUCCGUGCCAGCCGCCGC
rnacentral:rRNA from 1 species